rnacentral:rRNA from 1 species
AUGAAGUUGCUCUGCUGGAACAUCCGUGGGUUCGGCCACUUGGGCCGGCGCCGCCAGUUGAUUGAAUACCUGAGAGAGGAAGACAUUGAUAUUGUGGGUCUAUGGGAGACGAUCCGUCAUGACUUCUCCGUAGUGGAGUUGCAGGGCCUCACUAGGAGGCCUUUUGCCUGGCAAUGGCUUCCGGCCACGGGCCACUGA